rnacentral:rRNA from 1 species
UACGUAGGGGGCAAGCGUUGCUCGGAAUUACUGGGCGUAAAGGGCGCGUAGGCGGGAUGGCAAGUCGGUCGUGAAAUCCCUCGGCUCAACCGAGGAACGUCGAUCGAUACUGCUGUUCUUGAGGAUUGCAGAGGAGACUGGAAUUCCCGGUGUAGCGGUGAAAUGUGUAGAGAUCGGGAGGAACACCGGUGGCGAAGGCGGGUCUCUGGGCAAUUCCUGACGCUGAGGCGCGAAAGCGUGGGGAGCAAACGGG